GACGAACGCUGGUGGCGUGCCUAAUACAUGCAAGUCGAGCGAGACUCUUCGGAGUCUAGCGGCGGACGGGUGAGUAACACGUGGGCAACCUGCCUGUAAGACUGGGAUAACACCGGGAAACCGGUGCUAAUACCGGAUAAUCCAUUUCCUCUCAUGAGGAAAAGCUGAAAGUCGGUUUCGGCUGACACUUACAGAUGGGCCCGCGGCGCAUUAGCUAGUUGGUGAGGUAACGGCUCACCAAGGCGACGAUGCGUAGCCGACCGGAGAGGGUGAUCGGCCACACUGGGACUGAGACACGGCCCAGACUCCUACGGGAGGCAGCAGUAGGGAAUCUUCCACAAUGGACGAAAGUCUGAUGGAGCAACGCCGCGUGAGCGAUGAAGGCCUUCGGGUCGUAAAGCUCUGUUGUUAGGGAAGAACAAGUACCGGAGUAACUGCCGGUACCUUGACGGUACCUAACCAGAAAGCCACGGCUAACUACGUGCCAGCCGCCGCAGUAAAAC
rnacentral:rRNA from 1 species